GAUUGUGAGGCCUCCCCCAAAUUGCCCAGUCUUGGAAAAUCUGAAUUGAUACAGCAGCUCAUCUGAAAAAAAAAGAUGGGGUGGUGGUGGUGGUGGAGAAAACAGCAACUUAAAUAGUGCCAUCUACGAAUUAGGAGUGUUCACUGAAUGAGCAUGAGAUGCAGGUACCUUGUUCCCUCAGCCAGGUUCUAUGUUCCUUAAAGUCCUAAUUUUAGUCAGUAAAUAUUUAUGGCAUUUACUCUAUGCCAGACAAUGUUCUAAAUAUUUUAUUUAUACUGAAUUAUUUGGUGUUUACAUCAGCCAUAUGAUUAACUACUGUUUCCAUUUUGCAGAUGAGAACAUUGAAGCACAGAGAAAUUAUGUUAACUUGUCCAGUGCCAAAGAGCUAUUAAGUGGCAGAGCUGGGAUUUACUUCCACUGCACUGUUGCCUCUUUGGUUAGGAGCUCUUUGCUGUGCUGAGAUUGCAGUAUUUAAAGAUAGACACUGCACCAGGAACUGGAGGACAAGGUAGCCAAUUUCUUGCCAUUCUAUUAAGGGAGGAAGAUUUUAAACAAAUAACUACAACAAAAUGUACAGAGUGGCAUGAUCAAAGGAGUACAAGGAGCUAUCAGAGAUGACUAGGAGUUGGCCAGAUGAAGAAAGUGUAGAGGGAAGUGUCUUGAAACCUUUCCCCUGAACAAACCUGAAAGGUAGAAGACCAUGAGAUGACGCCUCUGGGGGACUGGGUAUAUAGCUCAAGGCUGUCCACACAACUGGGAUAUCCUUUCAUUGAGGUUUUAUGCUCUCUUUUUCAUAGCAUUUAUGCUUUUUAUAUUCUACUCUGUAAUAUAUUUAUGUUGGUUUAAAUAUAAAAGUAAUCUUUUAAAUCUAUUUCUAUCAAGAAAAAGGCCAAACCAAAAUGAUUUCCUUCCUACCACAAGGAAUAUGUACUACUUUUACCUCCUGUUGUGUCCCCAGUAGUUCUAAUUCUACCCCAGUUUGAGAGACAUGGCUCUUAUCACCCCAGAUUUUAUCCUUAGAUUAAUCCAGAGCAUGUGAGAAUUGUCUUGGUUUGGACCAAAUAUAUCAGAGCAACUAAAUUAAAUCUGUGGUAGUGUUGAUAGAUGUUUUCAAAUUCAUCGUUACAUACACCAUAGGGAUGCUACUGACAGUUCCAUUGUCAUGCAGUGACCCCUUUAGGAAGACUUGUGGGAAAAAUGAUUUAUCUGAGGACUCUGGAUCAGAAAUAUCUUUAUUCCUCCAAAGUAUAAUGUGGCCCCUUUAACUGAUCAUUCUUCUUUCUUUGCUUUGGCU